AUGGAGAGAUCUUUUUGGGUCCUGAUCCGAGGGAGGGGGGGAUGUCGGACGAGGAACAUCAGUUCGAGUCGAGGGCCGACGCGGGUGCGUCGAAGACCUACACGCAGCAGGCCGGCACCAUCCGGAGGACACGGGUACAUCGUCAUCGAGAACCGCCCCUGCAAGGUUGUUAAGGUUUCAACAUCUGAAACUGGAGAUUAUGGCAGCUGCCACUUUGUUGCCAUUGACAUCUUCACCAGCGAGAAAUUUGAAUAUAGUGUGUCGUCUUCUGACAACUGUUAUGUUCCUCAUGUGAAUCGCACUGAUUACCAGCUCAUUGAUAUAACUGAUGAUGGAUAUGUGAGUCUGCUGACUGAGAAUGGUGGCACCAAAGAUGACCUCAAGCUCCCAACUGAUGAUGCCCUUCUUUGCCAGAUCAAGGAUGGCUUUGCCGAAGGGAAGGACCUAGUGGUGUCAGUCAUGUCCGCCAUGGGAGAAGAGCAGAUUUGUGCUCUCAAGGACAUCGGCCCGAAGUAA
rnacentral:rRNA from 1 species